ensembl:lncRNA
CAAUCCCAAGCCUCCUUGGAGAACUGAGGGCGCCACCGGAGCUCCGGUAUCAGGAUCCGGAGGAUUUAAACACUUAGUGUUCGUCAACGGUUAAGUUCCGGAGUGGGGCGGGCCUUGCGCGCACGCAGUGAAAAGCCCAGCCGGGCGGCCGGGAGGACGUCAGAGGCGGCCGGAAGCGCUCGCUUCCGUGGUCGUUGCUCGGCGACUAGAAGCGGACUAAAUUUGAAAGGACAAAAGAGGGGAAGUUAGAUUUCUUCCGGUUUCUUUCCUAAGAAGCAUCCCCUCCUCUCAAUAACAUAAAUUAAAAAAAAAAAAAAGAAAACACUUCCUGUUGAGCAGAAAAGAACUUGACAAAUUUAUAAACCGUUUGUGCUUACUCUGCAGCUGAUUGGCAAGUUCUUUCUGUAGGGAGAUCCAAGUGACAAACCUCAAUGGCUGCCAUGGGUUACAUUUAGUGCAGAGGCCCUGGGGUGUAAGCUUCCUCACAUCUUCGAGCAAGGAGGAAGAUUAGCCCUGAGCUAACAUCUGCUGCCAAUCCUCCUCUUUUUGCUGAGGAAGAUGGGCCCUGAGCUGCCAGACCAUUGAAGAUACAAGUCAAUGUCAGCCAUGUCAGCCCCCAGGAUCCAAACUGGCAAACCCUGGGCUGCCGAAGCAGAACGUGCAAACUUAACUGCUACACCACCAGCCAGCCCCAGCAUGGAACUUUUUAUCACAUAAGGAGGCUUGUUCUUCCUGGAAAUAACUCCCUGGAAAACCCUUGGCAGAGAUGGGUAUCACUUUUUUAUAUCUUUCCCUACUAGUAUUUUCCUUAGCUGCCUAGCGUGGUUGGGAGGAGAUGGGCAAGGCACAGGAUAAUAAAUACUCAACUUACUGUAGUCAUAGUUCUCCAGGGAGAUGUAGAGAGGAAAGUCCCUACAUAUUGCUCUAAGUAGGUAUACUAUGAAGUUUGGGACCCAGCCUCCUGUGUGGAAUCCUUGGUUCUGGUGGACGCUAUCAUUGGAGCAAGAAAGACUAUGUUUUUGUCUUUGGCCUCAGGCCUUCACUAAAAGCAUGAGAAUAGCUUCCUAGACUCUUUUUCCAUGGAACUUACACCCUUAACAUCUUUCAACUGUGGCAGUUAUGCCAGAAGAGAUACAGAAAAAUCAGUUAAGACAACACGCACAAAGGAAAAGAAGCUGACAUAUGUCCUAGUUCCUCCUCCCUGGAAGGUGCAAAGUUUCAAGCCUUCUUCUGAACUUGGAUUGGAUUUCCAAUGCCAGGCAUUCUGCCAGGUCAGGGGUCAGCAAACUAUAGCCUGUGAGCACCUGUUUCGCUAUAGCCUACAAUCUAAGAAUGGCUUUUGCAUUUUUAAAUGGAUGAAUGAAAUAAAAGAAAGAAUAAUAUUUUGGGAUAUGUGCAAAUUAUAUUAAAUUCAAAUUUCAGUGUUCAUAAAAAUGUUUUAUUAGUACAUAACCACACUCAUUUGUUUACGUAUUAUCUGAGGCUGCUUUUGUACUACAAGGGUGAAGUUGACUAGUUGCAACAGAGAUGGUAUGGCCCACAAAACCUAAAUGACAACUUUUGGCUUCUCUUUCAUCUGCAAAAUGAGUGUAAUAGUAACAUCUAUGUCACCAGGUCAAUGACAUAGUAGCUAUGAUAGGGCUCAAUAAACAAUCAAAAAGGGGAAUAUUUUGAAGCAAUAUGAAAAAUAAGUUAUUAAUAAUAAGAUUUCUCCAGCAGUAAUAAUCUGAGACAUUCUGUUUCUUCCUCCAUGGUGGGAAGGGAAAUGUAGAAAUUGUGGGAAGGAAGGAAGUAGGAACUGAAGGGAGAAGAGAUAAGAGAGGCAAAGAAAGAGAGUGGGGAGAAGGACAGGAAAAGAGAAGUAGAUGGGGAGAAGGAGAGGAAGUUAGAAAUGGGAAAAGAAGGGGACAGUUGGAAAUAAGUAAAAAUAAAAAGAAGGGAGGGAAAGAGAGAGAUAGGGAGGAGGUGGGAAAUACUGCUCAGGAAGAGGAAAGGAAGGAAAGGAGUGGUACAGGGAAAAGGAGGCGGGGCACACAGGACAGAGGCUAAACCACCAUCCUCUCCUCCUGUUUAUCAUUUCCCAACCUUCCUGUCACUCACCUCUCAACAACUUAGUUGCUCUCUGGUAGUCUCUCUCUUCACACCAAUACUAUCUCACUUAAACUUCUACUUGAAUGAUAAAUCUAACACCCUGGCCUCUCAGUUCUAACAACAGGGCAUGUAAUCUGCCUCAGCCUUCCAUUCACCUUCUCUCACCCUGCAGGGGCUCACCUUGGACCUUGGCAUCACUAGAAACUCACAACUUCUGAAAUCUCAAUUUCAAAUAUCCCACCCAGACCACCAGCAUCUGUACUGCCAAGUAUCCCACUGCAACCAUUCUUCAACAUCAAUGCUUCUAACACCUUGGCCCCUUUCCCAGCUCCCUUCCACAUCCUCACUCUCAGCCCUCAUAUGCCAUAAUUUACUUUCUAUACGGUUUUGAUUCUACCUACAUUAUCAUAAACAUUCUCUUGCAAACACCCUCUUGGCCUUCUCUCCCUCUGUUGCAUUUGCUUAGCAAAAUUUCAAGCCUGUAUGAACUCAACAAUUUGUCUUCUCCCUGCCUGCACCUG